rnacentral:rRNA from 2 species
AGCCUGAUGCAGCCAUGCCGCGUGUGUGAAGAAGGCCUUCGGGUUGUAAAGCACUUUCAGCAGUGAGGAAGGCAUUAAGAUUAAUACUCUUAGUGUUUGACGUUAGCUGCAGAAGAAGCACCGGCUAACUCCGUGCCAGCAGCCGCGGUAAUACGGAGGGUGCGAGCGUUAAUCGGAAUUACUGGGCGUAAAGCGCAUGCAGGUGGUGGAUUAAGUCAGAUGUGAAAGCCCGGGGCUCAACCUCGGAACUGCAUUUGAAACUGGUUCACUAGAGUACUGUAGAGGGGGGUAGAAUUUCAGGUGUAGCGGUGAAAUGCGUAGAGAUCUGAAGGAAUACCGGUGGCGAAGGCGGCCCCCUGGACAGAUACUGACACUCAGAUGCGAAAGCGUGGGGAGCAAACAGGAUUAGAUACCCUGGUAGUCCACGCCGUAAACGAUGUCUACUUGGAGGUUGUGGCCUUGAGCCGUGGCUUUCGGAGCUAACGCGUUAAGUAGACCGCCUGGG